UACGUAGGGUGCGAGCGUUGUCCGGAAUUAUUGGGCGUAAAGGGCGCGUAGGCGGCCUUCUAAGUCGAACGUGAAAUCCCCGGGCUCAACCCGGGAACUGCGUCCGAUACUGGAAGGCUUGAAUCCGGGAGAGGGAUGCGGAAUUCCAGGUAUAGCGGUGAAAUGCGUAGAUAUCUGGAGGAACACCGGUGGCGAAGGCGGCAUCCUGGACCGGCAUUGACGCUGAGGCGCGAAAGCUAGGGGAGCAAACGGG
rnacentral:rRNA from 1 species